rnacentral:lncRNA from 1 species
CCCCACCCCCUGCUCCAGCCAGUGUCACCUCUUGGGGCACAAGCCUAGGAAAGAAGUGGCUGUGCACCUGCCUAUUAUGGGAUGGUAAAGAUGUGCUGGCUCCAGGGCUGACACAGGGCCCGUCAACACGAGCAAGAAGGGAUCGGAGGCCUGGCCUCUGACCACAGGGAGGACCCGUGCAGCAUGGCGUAGCUCUUCCCUCAGACAAGCCCGAUCAAACCGUGCUUUGGUCAGUAUAAGCGAUCCAGGAGUAUUUUUAUAAGCCUCCAUCUCUGACUUCAGAAAUUCCAGGGAGGCAAGAGCAACCUGGGGGGGAAGAGAGAAUUCAUCUCCUUACAACUCUGCAGGACAGAAGUUUCAAGACCACGCAGAUGGUUUGGCCAGACCCCUGGAUUCUGGAGAAAUGCAAGUUCGGGGACAGCAAGGAGGCAGAGGCAAGCGGAGGCAGGGAAAAGGCUAGAGAGUGAGUUCGUAUCUUUAUUUGUACAUGUCUUUAUUGUUUGAAUUUGACAGUGGGCAUAUUCAUGCAUCGUUCUUUGUUUUUAAAUCCCCGACCUGCACAAGAGCCCGACUCCACCCUUCUCUUGCUGUUUUCCCAUGGUAACGAGCAGCAGUGAUUAGCAGGGAGAAGCCCCUAACUAGGUGUUCGUACCAAGGCACUGGAAUGAUGAGAAAUCUGUAUUUUAAAAGAGCUUCUGGUUACUUCUACUCGGCCCUGUAGCAGCCUCGCCAAGGGGGCCGGCAGCACUAAAUAGCUUUGGUUGGACUGACACCCCAGUUCCUCACUCCCCUGCUGUGCGGUCCAGGUCACAGCCACCUGCUGGGAUCCGCAGUGGGCAUGGUGCUUCCCCCGCUCUGCCUAGGGGUGCGGCCACGUGACUGGCUCUGGCCAAUGGGAAGGGGCUCUGGGCCUGGGCGUUGAGGGACAAGCCUGGGCCACGCCACCCGCGUGGGGACCGUGAGACGCAGGAGCUGCUUGCCACAGAUCUGCAGGGUGAACACCCAGGAAGCCCAGGCUGAGGCUCUUGGCCGUGGGCCUGACGUGCAGGUGCGUGCGUUUCUGUCUGUUACUCGCACUUGGUCUCGUCCGUUAGUGCGCGAUCUCGCGGGAACUCUGAGCUCAUCUUGGCGGAUGGAAGGCCCAUCUGGGGCUGUCUGGGCCCGGGGGUUGCUGACAGAGCCAUCACGUGGCCAAACUCUUCUCCGCCCCUUCCUCUCCCCACCCCCCAGCACUCUUGGCCCUGUGGUGCAGGGUGCAUGGCCUGUGAACUUUCCAGAAGGUAUAGGCGUGGUGAGCCCCAGGAAGAAAAGUGGCGUGGACCCCAGAUUCGAAAGGGAAAUUGUGAAGACUAACCCGUGUCUAAGUAAAUAUUUAUGAAAUACAUCAUUGCGCCACCUUUGUGAAUGGUCCCAGUAGGCUGAGAAUGUCACUGCAUGUGAGAGGAAGUUGCAGUUUUGUUUUCUCACGUGACAAAAGGGCCCUCCUGUGCGAGGUAACAGCCCAGAGCUCAUAGGCAGCGCCGUACACUGAGGCCCUGAUGGUGAAAUGAUUAUGUUAGGGAGGCUUCAGGGCCCCUUGAGGCUUGGUCAGGCAGAUGUGGGUGUUUUUCUCACACCAAGAAGUCAGUCGGAAGUGGGCUCAGUUCCCUUUGCUGUGUAUUUGGUGAGAGACACUCAUGUAUCCACUCCUGAACCAAAUGCUGGUAAAGCGAAGGAGACAGGCUUUUAUUUAUUUAAUGAGACACAUCUUCUGUGUCUGGCAUCCUCCUGAGCACUUCCCAGUACUAACUCAGCCUUCUUGCAGCCCUGUAGGAAGGGUGUAAUGGCUAGCCACGCAUUACAGAUGAGGAAACUCAGGCUCAGAGAAGUUAGGUUACUUGGCCAAGGUUGCACAGCUUCUAAGCGGGAAAGCUGGGAUUUUCACCAGAACCAGCUGGCUCCAGAAUUUACAUCCACAAUCUCCAGCCUCUUGGCGCCCUUGGUUGGUACAGAUGCGUCCCAUCCUGGAGCCGGGGGUGGGCACAACGUCUCCUGAAGGGUGUUUGCUUUGAGGAUGGGAUAGAUGCUGAGUGGAAUCAGAGUGCCUUUAGGAAGAAGAGCUGGGAUGGCUGCCCAGGACGUCCCAAGAGUGGCCUCUCCCCUCUCCCUCCUCCCCUUCCCCCUCUCUCCUGGUCCCCUGGCCCCGUGCGUGAUUGUAUAAAGUGGACAACUGCUCCCCUCCCAUCUCGGUGGCCCUCGUCAUGCUUUCUGCCCUGUCCCCUCCUUCUGCUGCUGGCUCUUUGAGUCAUGUUCCAAAAUGACUUUUGCAAUGUCAGAGCCAUAAAUAGAUUAUGAGAAGAAAAUCUUUUGUUUAAACAGAAAUUCUAAUUUUCUGAAAGGUGAUGAAUAAACACUCCGCGAUGCAUUAGAGAUCAGCAAAUCUUGUUUGCGCAAAAUCAUGCUUCAAUUUCUUUAUGUAAGCCGAAAAUAGCAGCCCUAACGACCUUGCCAGAAACCUCUUUGUGUCAAAGGAUUGGUCUCUCCAUUCCAAUCUGUGUUGCCCAGGAGAGGCUGAGCCUUUCCAUUCGGGUGGGAAAGUGCUUCUUAUGGAACCAGUUAGGGCAUAGGCUCGCCCCCGGGGCACUGAGCGGUUCCCUUUCUCCUGGAACUGUCCAAUCACUUCACUUGAACGCAUCCUUGAGUGUGUUACAAAGUGCCUUUAUCAGGGAGGAGAAACACCCAGGGCCUGAGCCCAGGCGGCCUGAGCCCGACGCUUGGAAGCGCUCUCAGUGGUCGUGCAGUCUUUGCUGCUGUCAAAAUCAGAAUGUUCUUUUCAGCAGCUCUCAGCAGCAGCGCUAGCGACUGCUUCAACCACAGGCCAGAGAGGGUCUUCAGUGAGACACUCCAGGGUGGAUGUCACAGAAGACAUCAGGGCCGCAUCAGCCAAACAGGGGAGCUUGGCUCCUAAGAGAGAGGCUACCCCCCUGGCAGCGAGGGUGGGCAGUGUUCCACAUCCCAGCACAGCAGCGCACGUCAGCCCCAAACCUGGUGGCGUCUAACGACUUCUUUUUAAUGCUUGGAAAUGCCGUGGGUCAGAAAUUUGGACAGGGCACAGCAGGAAGGGCAUGUCACUGCUCCGUGAUGCCAGCACCUUCGCUGGGAAGCUCGGAGACAGAAGGCAUUUUCUCUCCCAUGGUUGCCGCUGGUGCUCGGCUGGGCCCUUGGCUGGAACUGUCAAAGCCCUGUGGGCUUCCAUGAGGGGUGACCUGCAAGAUCUCCCACUGCAGGGAGGGUGACUGCCCCUCAGCCCCAGAUGCCACAUCCUGAACGCCACUGGCACAUCUGUACUAAAGCCACGCCUGCCAUGGGCUGUGCCCAGCAGGUGACGGAGCGUGGCAGAGACAUCGAGCCUGGCCCCCUCCUGGAGAACACAGGACUCCUCUGGCAGGUGACCCAGGCUGGUGGACUCCCCCACAGCCUUGCCAGGCCUUCCCUGAAACUGCCCUCUGGGGGAGCAAAGUCCCCCUUCUCCUUAGGGGCAGGCAGUGCAGAGUGACUUCCACCCAAAGAGAAAUGGUACAGUGGGAAAAACCUGACACACACACCUCAGCCCAGGUCCAAGGUCAAUAUCAACAGUGAUAAAGCAGCUGAUUGGCUCAGAGUAACCCAGAUCUGCCCCUGGGUUGAAGGUGGGGUGACACUCUUUUGUGUUUAGGGGGUGAUCUUUGCAAGGAGGGAGGUGGUUGCCAGACUGGCCCAAAAGUACAUCCCCGCCCAGAGCUGGAGAGGAUGGCUGAAGACCCCUGGCAGGUCCCCUGCUCCAGACAGUGGUCCAGACAAGAGGUGAUGAUGCCCAGGUGAGCAGUGGACACUUAGGGAACUAAAUGAAUGAGAUGUAUAUUCGAGAGGUGGACUCAACAGGAGUUUUUGAUGGAUUGGAUGGCUCCAUACGAGAGCGAAAUUCGUUGUAUGGAUUGAAUGUUGUAUGGUUGUUUUUCUAAAUUCACUUUUGUAGUCGUCACACCCCAGAACCACAGAAAACACAGGGCCUUCUGAGAGGGGUGACCACAUGCUGCAUGGGUAACAUCACACGAAAUUGUGUAACAGUCAGGCCCUUGUUGGUUGGGGACGCUCCCUCUCCCCACCAGCGACUUCACCACGUGUUCUCAUCCUGAGCCCUUAGGAUCAUUUCAGUCUGAUUUGGAGGCGUUUUUAAAGGGGGGAAAAAACAUUGUAUUCAAUCCAUUCCAUAGUUAAUACAGUUAGCCGCUUAAGACUGCCACUUGAUUAAAUUUAAAAUAUAAAUGCCUAGGUAUAAAGGAAGACGUAAUGGCUUUUAUUAAGCCAGCUCCAGUCAGUCAAAAGCCCAGUUCAGAUUUCAUGUGGUUUCACGUUUGCCUUUCCUGCUGAGUCACUCUUUUCAUGACCAGCUUCUGAAAUGAUAAAGCCCGCAUUCACCAACGUGGAUACCGCUAUCCUACCUUGAUGAAGACAAGAGAUGGGGCUUAUUACAUUGACUCUGCUCAGAAGGAGAGGGGGCCUGCCCAUGUGUGUUAUUACCGCCAAAGGAGUUCUGGAAUGAGUGAGCCCUAGACAGAGCGUGAAUCCCUGUUCGUAUAUGUGCUUAUUGUGAUGGGAGCUGUGUGCGUAAGUACUUUGAAACUGCUCUCAGCCAUAACUGUGGUCUCCCUCCGAGCUGUACAUUUUGCCAUAAACUUUCAACGUCAUUUGGAGGCUGUUUAACUCUCAAUUUAUCCACAAACUUUUAGAGAAAACUGGGCCAUGUCCCAAAGCAAAUUACUCCUGAAAUGGGAGCUCGUGCCUCGUAAGCUCAGGCACUUUAAAACUGGUAAGGAAUAAAGACAUCCAAAAAAUAACCAAAAUUGAGAAGGACUACACCGAAAAUUAAGACCAUUCAAAUUUAAACUAAGUCAACCGUGAUAAAUUGGGGGUUUAGUUGUUUUGUUGUUGUCAGGCUGGUAUUGGGGUUAUUUUGGCUUUUCAGUUUAUUAAAUAUUUUAAUGAUUGAUGAUGUCUAGUAUUGGCAAGGAAGGGUCUACUCUCAGAAUAUGUUGAUAAAUAUACGAGUUGUUACAGCUCUAUUGGAAGGUAUUGUGACAGUAGCUAUUCGCAUGUGUUGAAUGCCCCCACUUCAUGCCUAGAUAUUAGACAAAAAAAAAAAUACCCACAAAGGGACAAGAACAGAGAUGUUUCUGGUAGCCUUGGUUGCAAAGGGGAGCAUAUUACAACAACCUUAAAUCCAUCAAGAUCGAAAUAAACGAUAGCAUGCAUAUAUUCAGAAAGAAUGAGCUGGAUCAACCAACACUGAUGAUACUUAUCAAGACACGAUGGAGUUCCCCUUGUGGCUCAGUGGUUAACGAAUCCGACUAGGAACCAUGAGAUUUCGGGUUCGAUCCCCGGCCUUGCUCAGGGAGUUAAGGAUCUGGCGUUGCCGAGAGCUGUGGUGUGGGUCGCAGACAUGGCUCGGAUCCUGCAUUGCUGUGGCUGUGGUGUAGACUGGUGGCUGCAGCUCCAAUUCGACCCCUAGCCUGGGAACCUCCAUAUGCCGCAGGAG